rnacentral:rRNA from 1 species
GACGAACGCUGGCGGCGUGCUUAACACAUGCAAGUCGAACGAAAAGAGGGAAAGAGCUUGCUCUUUCCGGAAUUGAGUGGCAAACGGGUGAGUAACACGUAAACAACCUGCCUUCAGGAUGGGGACAACAGACGGAAACGACUGCUAAUACCGAAUAAGUUCCAAGAGCCGCAUGGCCCAUGGAAGAAAAGGUGGCCUCUACCUGUAAGCUAUCGCCUGAAGAGGGGUUUGCGUCUGAUUAGCUGGUUGGAGGGGUAACGGCCCACCAAGGCGACGAUCAGUAGCCGGUCUGAGAGGAUGAACGGCCACACUGGAACUGAGACACGGUCCAGACUCCUACGGGAGGCAGCAGGGGGGAAUCUUCCGCAAUGGGCGAAAGCCUGACGGAGCAACGCCGCGUGAGUGAUGACGGCCUUCGGGUUGUAAAACUCUGUGAUCCGGGACGAAAAGGCAGAGUGCGAAGAACAAACUGCAUUGACGGUACCGGAAAAGCAAGCCACGGCUAACUACGUG